rnacentral:sRNA from 1 species
AAGUGUGUAUUCGAAUCUGAAUUCCUCGAAGAACACCAGAACGAUACAGCACUAGCAGCAGUGGUGCUAGCCACAUUCCCACCAUCACUUCUUCACCAAUGUGUUUCCACCCUGUUGUGGUGGGACCACAUCUAGUGGGCGUGAAGGUAGGUCAGUCUCCAUGGCCCAUUCUGUCUUUGGCCUCU